AUUGAACGCUGGCGGCGUGCCUAACACAUGCAAGUCGAGCGGUAACAGGUGUAGCAAUACAUGCUGACGAGCGGCGAACGGGUGAGUAAUGCUUCGGAAUCUACCUUAUGGUGGGGAAUAACUAGCCGAAAGGUUAGCUAAUACCGCAUACGUCCUACGGGAGAAAGCAGGGGAUCGCAAGACCUUGCGCCAAAAGAUGAGCCGAAGUCGGAUUAGCUAGUUGGGAGGGUAACGGCCUACCAAGGCGACGAUCCGUAGCUGGUCUGAGAGGACGACCAGCCACACUGGGACUGAGACACGGCCCAGACUCCUACGGGAGGCAGCAGUGGGGAAUAUUAGACAAUGGGGGAAACCCUGAUCCAGCGACGCCGCGUGUGUGAAGAAGGCCUGCGGGUUGUAAAGCACUUUUAGUGGGGAUGAAAUGUGCAGGGUUAAUACCUCUGCAUUUUGACCUAACCCACAGAAAAAGCACCGGCUAACUCUGUGCCAGCAGCCGCGGUAA
rnacentral:rRNA from 1 species